ACGGACUACCGGGGUAUCUAAUCCCAUUCGCUACCCGUGCUUUCGUCCCUGAGCGUCAGGAAUGUGCCAGUAUGCUGCCUUCGCACUCGGUGUUCCCCAUGAUAUCAACGGAUUUCACCCCUACACCAUGAGUUCCACAUACCUCUCACAUCCUCUAGUCUUACCGUUUCCUAUGCGUUUUCCCAGUUAAGCCGGGAGAUUUCACACAAGACUAAUAAGACCGCCUGCGGACCCUUUACGCCCAAUAAUUCCGGAUAACGCUCGGGGCACUCGUAUUACCGCGGCUGCUGGCACCA
rnacentral:misc_RNA from 1 species